UACGUAGGGUGCGAGCGUUGUCCGGAAUUAUUGGGGCGUAAAGGGCUCGUAGGCGGGUUUGUCGCGUCGGGAGUGAAAACCUCGGGCUUAACUCGGGGCUUGCUUUCGAUACGGGCAGACUAGAGGUAUGCAGGGGAGAACGGAAUUCCUGGUGUGAGCGGGUGGAAAUACGGCAGAUAUCAGGAGGAACACCGGUGGCGAAGGCGGUCUCUGGGCAUGAUCUGACGCUGAGGAGCGAAAGUGUGGGGAGCGAACAGG
rnacentral:rRNA from 1 species